GACGACCAGUGGCGAAAGCGUUUAACUGGAACGAAUCUGACGGUAAGGAACGAAGGCUAGGGUAGCAAACCGGAUUAGAUACCCGGGUAGUCCUAGCUGUAAACAUUGCCCAUUUGAUGUUGCUUUUCCGUUGAGGGAAGGCAGUGUCGGAGCGAAGGUGUUAAAUGGGCCGCUUGGGAAGUAUGGUCGCAAGACUGAAACUUAAAGGAAUUGGCGGGGGAGCACCGCAACGGGAGGAAUGUGCGGUUUAAUUGGAUUCAACGCCGGAAAACUCACCGGGAACGACCUGUGCAUGAGAGUCAACCUGACGAGCUUACUCGAUAGCAGGAGAGGUGGUGCAUGGCCGUCGUCAGCUCGUACCGUAGGGCGUUCACUUAAGUGUGAUAACGAGCGAGACCCACAUCUUUAAUUGCAAAUGUAUAUGAGAAUAUGCAUGCACUUUAGAGAAACCGCCAGCGCUAAGCUGGAGGAAGGAGUGGUCGACGGCAGGUCAGUACGCCCCGAAUUUCCCGGGCUACACGCGCAUUACAAAGAACGGGACAAUACGUUGCAACCUCGAAAGAGGAAGCUAAUCGCGAAACCCGUCCAUAGUUAGGAUUGAGGGCUGUAACUCGCCCUCAUGAAUCUGGAUUCCGUAGUAAUCGCGGGUCAACAACCCGCGGUGA
rnacentral:rRNA from 1 species